CCCAGUCUGGAGCGGAUGAUGAUCAGACCCCAGGAGCAGUUUAUGAAAACAUUUCCGUGGCAAGAAAUGUCCUGAAUGCAGGAGAUCACCAGGCAGAUCCAAACGCCAUCUACAUGGAUUUGCAAAGACCCACUCAGUCCAUCUACGGUCAUCUCCAAGGUA